rnacentral:rRNA from 1 species
UACGGAGGAUCCAAGCGUUAUCCGGAUUUAUUGGGUUUAAAGGGUGCGUAGGCGGCCUGUUAAGUCAGGGGUGAAAGACGGUAGCUCAACUAUCGCAGUGCCCUUGAUACUGAUGGGCUUGAAUGGACUAGAGGUAGGCGGAAUGAGACAAGUAGCGGUGAAAUGCAUAGAUAUGUCUCAGAACACCGAUUGCGAAGGCAGCUUACUAUGGUCUGAUUGACGCUGAGGCACGAAAGCGUGGGGAUCGAACAGG